UGCGGGCCCUAGGGUCCACAGAUGACAUAUCAGUCGAUAGGCAUGCAUUUACUGUUCGAGGGAAACAAAUAAGGGUGCAGCUUAGGCGAAAAGAAAAUCGUCUUAUUGCCAGUGUCUAAACUCCUAACGACGGAAUGUGUCUCUGAGACUAUGAGUGUGGAUACACGUGUACUUAAAACAGCCCCGCCUG
rfam:Equus caballus chromosome 17, whole genome shotgun sequence.